CCACAGCCAUAGUUGGCACCUGCCCAAGGAAAAAUAACCACUUAUCUGCAAAAACCCAACAGACCCCCUACCUAUCCCCGUAACCCCAACCUCCAGAGGUAGGGAGCUAUCUCUCUUCCUAGAAUGUUUAAUGAGAAAUUUACAAAGAAUGAGAAGGUAAAAUGCUCAGCAAAAUUCCAGGAAAAUUAAGGAGGGAAGGACAGCUUGAGACACUUAAUUCUCCAAGUGAGGUGUCAGUGCAGUUCCCAAAGCAACUCCAGCCUUGUCACCAUGCCUGCCAAUACCUCAGCUAGCAGAAUUCGUCGAAAAGCAUUGGCAAUGGCUGCGUCAAUUCCCACCAUGUCAAACUCCAGUGAGUUUUCAUCCAUGUGUACUACAUCCACACGGAAAUUCUAGAGGGACAGGAAAAACAUUUAAGUGAAACCUGCUCUCUGUGUAAUAUCUCUUCAUACCUCCCCCUUAGAUAAUUCCCUCAAGUAUUAUCCUCUCGUCCAAAAACCUCCCUUUGCCCAAAUGUCUCUUAUUAAAUAUUCUAUCUCGCCCA
rnacentral:antisense_RNA from 1 species